rnacentral:tRNA from 1 species
AGCUCAGUUGGAUAGAGCGUCUGAUUGCGGUUCAGAAGGUCGCACGUUCGAAUCGUGCC